UUGGCUGAUGGGCAAAGCAUUCAGCAUCAAGCACAAGUGGCUACUGUUGAUGAAAAUCAAGUGGAAGGAGAAAAAACAGAUGAAGAGAAAAAAAUUGAACAUCAAGACAAGCAAGAGUUUUCUCCAGUUGCAGACAUUUUUGGUUCACAUGCAAUAAGCAUAAAUCGUUGCACACGUUGUUGUCAUGAAAUUCAUAAAGAUACUACAUCUCUUCUUGUUAACCUCUCAUAUCCAGAAGUAAAUGGAGAUUCCCCACCUGGCUUCGUUCCGUUUUCAAGCAUAGUAGAAAGAAGCAUGGGCUUGGAACAAACUAGGCAAGCAUGGUGUGAUUCAUGCACAAGAUACCAACCCAUUGAGCAGUGGAGACGUUACAGGACUUUACCAAAUAUUCUGGCUACGAAUUGUGGCCUA